CUGAUACAGGGCUCAGGAAUGAGCCUCUCAGCAGGUACUAGGCGUGCCAUGUGCAGGCUCUUGCAGCCCAGCUGUUGCCCUGGCAGCUCCAUGACCACACCUCUGUGCCCAGACAUGGAUCAGAACUGGGAGAAAAAGAGAAGGUGGUACCUUCUAUCCCCUUCACCCUGGGUCUUUCAGGAUCUGCCCCAAGGAGCAGAAAACGGGUGCGCCCAGAGCAGCUUACUCAGGAGACGCUUGCUGAUACAGAGAUGAGACAGUGAUUCCUGUCCUCAAGGAGGUUACAUUCGCAUGGGGAGAGACACAUAGCAAAAGAGACCACCAAGGCAAGUCCGCCGAGAGAUGAUGAGAGCCCAGAGGGCAUAUCACUAAGAGAAGGCCAGGAAUGAUCUCACGGAGCAAAUGGCAAUUGGCUUGAGUUUUGAGGAAGUAGAAGUUUGGUCAACAGGUAGGAAGCUGAGUAGGAAGGGAAUUUCUGGCAAAGGCACAGUUGCUGGUUCAGUGGCAUCGUUCCCUCUGGGGAAUCUGGGAAGACUGUGC
rnacentral:lncRNA from 10 species